rnacentral:rRNA from 1 species
UAACAAGGAUUCCCCUAGUAACUGCGAGUGAAGCGGGAAAAGCUCAAAUUUAAAAUCUGGCGGUCUUUGGCCGUCCGAGUUGUAGUCUGGAGAAGCGUCUUCCGCGUUGGACCGUGUACAAGUCUCUUGGAACAGAGCGUCAUAGAGGGUGAGAAUCCCGUCUUUGACACGGACUACCAAUGCUUUGUGAUGCGCUCUCAAAGAGUCGCGUUGUUUGGGAAUGCAGCGCAAAAUGGGAGGUGAAUUCCUUCUAAAGCUAAAUAUUGGCGAGAGACCGAUAGCGAACAAGUACCGUGAGGGAAAGAUGAAAAGCACUUUGGAAAGAGAGUUAAACAGUACGUGAAAUUGCUAAAAGGGAAACGCUUGAAGUCAGUCGCGUCGUCCGGAACUCAGCUUUGCUUCGGCUUAGUGCACUUUCCGGUUGACGGGCCAGCAUCGAUUUUGACCGCUGGAAAAGGGCUGGAGGAAUGUGGCACCUUUGGGUGUGUUAUAGCCUUCAGUCGCAUACAGCGGUUGGGAUCGAGGAACGCAGCGCGCCUUAUGGCUGGGGUUCGCCCACAUUCGCGCUUAGGAUGCUGGCAUAAUGGCUUUAAACGAC